UUGUGUGAGGCUGUGUGAAUUACCUAAAGUUAAACUUAAGAAUCAUAAGAUUAAUUGAAUCAUCUUAAUUAAUUAAUUAAUCGUCUUAAUUAAUUGAAUGUAUGUACUCUGAGUGUAUGUGAGUCCCUAGGGCAGCUGGCUGGACCGAGUACGGACGGAAGGGAAAAGUAGGCAUAAAUCGGUACAAGAUAGGCUAAGCAGGCCGGAACAGCAGGACAAGGUAGGAGGAAAUCAUUUGGCUGUGAGGGAUAACUUAGUGGAUUUAAGGGGGGCAUGUAGAAAAGACUCUAAGGGCUGAGAGGUGUGAGACGCGACCAGAGUUAUGGCUGAAUGUAAGAAAGAGAUGAGCCCGAUAGAUAGGGUGAUAAGCAAACACUGUACAGAUGAGAAGGACAUUAGGCAUUAUUGUAAAAAAUGGAGUGAGAAGACUAGUGGUGAGUGGAAAUGGCCCGAGGAAGGUACUCUUGAUGAACAGCUAUGCCAGAUAAUGAAAGAGAGAUUAGCUGUAUGGAAUGAACAGAAAAAAGACUUGAGAGUGAGGGAGAAAUGUGUGAAGACAGAGAAGAUAGUGGACUGGUUUGUGAACGCAGCGAAAGAGGAGAAGGAGAAGAAUAGGCGGCAGAGAGAACGAGCAGAGGCGGUGGUACGGAAGAAAGAAGAAAGGGAAGCAAGCCUAGGAAAAAAGAUAAAAGAGGCCAUUCAGAAAGAAUGGGCCGAGGCCCCGUCCCCAUAUAACCCUCAGUACCGCCCUCCAGUGAGACCUGUCAGAAGUGCCCCACCUGCCGGGCUCUACAUGAUGCAAGACCUGGAGGACAGAGAAGAUGAAUGGAAGGAAACCGAGGUGGACAUACAGGGAACAUUCACCGGAUACCAAAGAAUGAGGCAUCGCAUGCGGGAGGAUGGAGAACCUACCAAAUGGAAGAAGGAGCUGCCGGAUACGAGGAUAGAACCCCAGUCGAGAGCGAAAGCCCACGGCUGGACCUCCCACAUGUAGGCAACAAAGAGAGGGACUGGGAACUACAGGAGUAUAUGAAAAACUGGACCCACACUCUGGGGUGGCCAGAGCACGGGGAGAUUCUCACCAGCACUAGCACCCCGAGGCCAGGGUCACGGCCGAUGGUGCACAAGCAAAGAGACAAGAAACUGGAGGAAAUACAGGAGCAGGAGGAGCAUAGGACCAGUGAAAAUCAAGAAGGUCGUAGGAGUGAGAGAGAGCACGAAGGUGAAAACGGAGCACAAGGGGCUCCACACACCAGAGGAGGAGAAACAUGGGAGCCGAGAGACAAUGUGGGGUGGGUGGUCCAUAUAGAGGGGGAUGUGGCGCUCUCACCAUAUGAGUAGGAUAAGGAAUUGGAGGACGGGAUAUCAUACGGCGUGGGUAAAAUGGAUGAAUUGAAAAAUCUCGCAGGUCAAGCAUUCCAAAUGGCGAUGGCUGUGAAAAAUAAGUAUGCGCACAAGCCCCAUUUGGGAGAAUCAAAAUCACAGAGGUCGAGAAGAGCACUGAACCAGCCAGCAGGAAAACAUGUGAAGAGCCUGAGUAAGGCCUCAAAGGUCCUAAUAUACCACCAGCAGAAGAAGAAGCAAGGAGUUCAGACAUGGAUCUGGAUGAACAAGGGGGGACUGAGAGCAAGGGGACUGAAACAGACAAUGAAGGAAAAGUUCAACAAGACAUCAGUGAGGAGGAGGACUCAAGGGCCACCCACCCGAUAAAGAUGGAGCCUAGUGAAGCUAGAGCACUACAGAGCAGGGCAAGCCUGAGGCCCUCAGUGAGAUUCCAACCUGGUAUCACAGCGUACGAGCCCAGCCUGAAUCAGGUUGGGUGGUCACCCCCAGGUCAGAUGCCCCUCAUGAUUAAAGGAAAAGCCCUACAUUAUGCACCCUGGAGUUUCAUCAACCUAACGGGCCUGAUCCAACGACUACCCAACAUAUGUGAAGGGGGGCAGAAAUGGAUUACACAGUUCGAGGAAAAAACAUCAGGACAGCACCUGGCGAUUGGCGAUAUCAAAGCCAUUCUCUGCCAAAGAGUGGGCAAGGGACGGGCUGAAGAGAUUUUCGAUAGGGCAGAACACAGGGAUUUGAUAGACGACCCCAAGGCUGACGCCAUCCCGUUUGGCCUGUACCGACAAGAAAUAUGGGACGCUGUGAGGAGUAUGUUUCCGGCUAAGAUGGACCCUGGGAAGCUCGAAAAUAUAAAACUGAAAGACAAAGAAAACGUGAUAACCUUCAUACAAGAGUUUCAAGACAAAUGGAGGGAUGAAACGGGUGCCAAAUGGGACGAUUCGGUGGCAAGUGUGGGACUGUUCAAACUGCUGUUGAAGAAGACUCUCCCUGGGGAGGUACAGCAGAAGUUAGAGGAAGUGGUGGGGCUCAACGCAAUGGAAUGGGCUUCAUUUCUGGCACAUAUGACCCAUCACCAAUCCAUAGACAUUUGUAUUCACAGGUGCGUGAGGCAGUCCAUGGAGAGAACAGGUACGGGAGGACAUGCGUCUAGUGGCACCCGGGGACCAGGUAUACAUUCGUGUUUUCAAGAGGAAGAGCCCCCUUGCGGGACGUCGGGAAGGACCCUUCACCAUGGUUGCUGCAACCCCCAUGGCUGUGAAAGUUGAGGGGAGGAAUUACUGGUAUCACUUGAACCACUGCAGCCGCGCCGAACCAGGUAAGGGACCGCUACUGCAAGACACUACCGACGAACAACCAUCGACCUCAGGUCUAGUCAGUACAAGGCAGCCCAUUGAGGCAGUGGUGUUCACUGAUAGUGACAGUGAUUCGGAUGCAUCCCUGAGCCCUGCCUACGGCACUCAAGCCCAGACUAAGCGGCGGGCUGUGGAAAAACUAGAUAAACUGUCUCAGUCUGAUGCCAGUAGCCCAACCGGCCCUCUGCUUCUUUCCACUCCUUGCUAUGAUAUGGACCUUGUUCUCUCGCCCCGAGUAGAAGUGAUGGGUGUCGUAGUUACCAGCCCACAGGAAUUUGUAACCCCAACGGAGGAGGAUUUUCUGUCUACGCUUGCCACUCUCUGUCAGGACCUUGACGACCCCGCUUUGCCUCUGAGCCUAAUUGACUUGGAUACGCUGCAGUCCCUAGAAGCACAGUUGAGCUUACCUGGGCUUACUCCUGAACUUCAGUCUCCGCAUGAAUCCUUGCACAAUCCCCUACCACCAGUUCCGGAGGGGACCGGUGGCACGAGCUCCGCAGAAUAGUAGCACAUAUGGUGUAGGGUGAUCUUUGCAGCAGGGCUAAUAGCACUCUUUUUCUUUUUCUACGACCCAAUGUUCAGAAGGACUAUUCAUACCUUCAAUAAUUCCCUGGACUCCUAUAACACGUUACGUCCACGAUUGGCUGCUACUUCCCGCACAGCCCCCUAUCCCCGUAUUAGGCAUGUUCGAUCCUGGACGGCCCCUGGCUUAAAUGUAGGUUCAUGUAGCUCGAUGUGCGUGUUAGCUCUCCUUAGACUCGCCCAUGAAGAGUCCCUGAUUGGUAGAAGUCCCUAUUUAGCCUCAUUCACUUUCUCCCAAGCUCGAUCUGCGGAGAUUUGCGUGGGACAUCUUAGAAUUACUGGUAGGGCACUGACGAGUAGGUGCUCCUUUGAGCUGCCCACUAUUGGCCCCCUGUGGCUACUGUUCCUUUGCUCGGCUACGGUGUGUUCUUACCAUGAUAGUACAGGGUCACCUUUCACAUCCCGGGCUCUCCACCCCCUCCUCAUUGCCCCGAUGUCAACUGCGAUCGCACAUAAAUUAAUGAAAUUACAAUACUAUUCAAUCUCCACUGAUAACACCUCACUUACGGAGGAGCAGAGUAACAUGUGGAACAUGUAACAUGGGAAACGUGUCUGCCCGAUGUAAUGUCUCCCUGUUCACUAAUGAUUUACAAAUUGAGACCCUCUCUGUCUGUGAUUCAUCCCCAUGCACCCCCAGUGUGACAAUUCCCCUAGCUGACCUUAGUGUUGGUACUGUUCCCCUUGCGGAUGUUUUAUGGUUUUGUGGGGGCCAACGUGUACGCCAGACUGCCUGCGGAAUGGCAGGGGUACUGCGCCCCAGUUAGGUUGGACAGUAAGACCCAUGUUUUGGUGGUGGCUGACCAACCGUCAUCCAGCCGGUCCCGUUCACGCUGCGACGUGGCCCUGUGGACUCAGCAUGUCCGUGAUGCUGGUGCAGCGAGCUAUUCUGACUGGGCCGCUGAUGAGACCAUCCAUCUUGACUUUGGGGGCACCCUCGUUGGCGUUCCUGCUCGCUACAGAGCCAUGGAGGCCGUUGGCAGUGGUGUAGCAUCUAUUUUGCUCCCGGCCGUGCAGAUCAACCGCAACGUGGCAUGGAUUAAUUACAUUAGGUACAAUGAGCAACGCUUCAUUAACUACUCGGUGAGUGCUCUCGGACUGGUCCGUGAUCAGCUCCAUGCCACUUCCCUCAUGGCUGCUCAGAACCGUUUUGUCCUGGACCAGAUGCGUGCCCCUGAGGAGGGUGUCUGUGCAAUGAUUGGUCCCGAGUGCUGUGCUGUGAUCCCUUUGCACACUGGUUCUGAGGGUGCUCUCUCCAAGUCCGGCUCUAAUCUCCGCCUCCCGCCGUGGCUCUCCUGGUUUCUUUCUGGAGAUUGGACUGCUGCCCUGACCCACUUGGGAGUGUCCCUGCUCGCCCUCCUUCUGCUUGUGGGUCUGGUGGCCUGCUGUGUGAUCCCCUGCGCAUGACGGAUGGUGAUGUCCUCUGCCUCAUUUUCUGGCCAGUACAUUGUUAAAGGUGAGGCGUUACCACCUCAACAGGGGGUGGUGAUCGAGACCAUGCAACGGGAGACUAUGAUCAGCAUACAUCAUGGGGGGUGGGGGGGGGUCUACGAGGACAUGAGACGGGACAUGAGCCAGGACUGAUGAGGACAGUGCAAGGGAGCGCAAGGACCCGUUUGUACAAGGUAGUGGCCAACUGGGCCUAUCCGAGAAAAAAACGGGACCUAUUGGUGUUUUGUAUGUGUUCAUCUGUGUUGCAGAUCUACUGAACCCUGAGGGGUGAGAAGAAGAUGUGAUGAUCCAUACCCUGGGUGUAAGUGCUAGCCUAACCUCUCCCCAAAGGGUGGUUCUCUACAGUACGUAAAGUGCUUGAGCCGAAGACAACCGGAAUACAGAGAGAUACUGCCGAUAUCUGUCAUGUCGAUUGUUAUAAAAUGUUGUGAUAUGCGAUAUGAUAUGUGAUGGCGUAUGACCUGUGAUGUGCAAUAAAGUGUGACGUAAUCAGGCACGAGAAAAGUAUAAUGGUGCUGUCGAGCACAUAGUGCCAGCAGGGUGGGAAUUUUUCCUCAUAGGAGAUUUUUUCACCCACCCCUGACUGCAAAGGAUUGGGGUUUGUUUUUUUUGGGGGAAGCAAGACUCUGCAGGUCCUGACAAAUACAAAACUGUGGUCUGACAGGCCUAGUUGAGAAAGAUAGGGAUGUGUAGAUCCAAUCAAGUAGUUACUGUAGUGGCCACUCAUACUUAAACUAGCAAUGGCAGUAGUAGUAGUAGUAAAGUAAUUAGGGGAACUCAGUUAAUCACACUUAUAAUCGAUGUAGGCAACAAAUGUAUAAUCAAGGUAGUUAGAUUCGAAAUAAC
ensembl:lncRNA